UUUUAUUUUUAAAUGUUCUGGUAUAAGUUUGUAUGUUAAUUUAAAACAAAACUAGAUCAUAACCCGUGCUAUACAGCACGGACAUUAAUAUUUUGUAUAAAUUAAAUUAUAUACUUUGUUUGAAUUACAUAAGAAACUAGAUAAGACCCGCCUAUUUAGGCGGGUGUAAGAUACAAAAAUAAAUUUUU
rnacentral:sRNA from 1 species